GACCAUGUGAAUGCGAGCAAAUCCCAAAAAUAACGUCUCAGUUCGGAUUGUAGUCUGCAACUCGACUACAUGAAGCUGGAAUCGCUAGUAAUCGCGAAUCAGAAUGUCGCGGUGAAUACGUUCCCGGGUCUUGUACACACCGCCCGUCACACCAUGGGAGUCAGUAACGCCCGAAGCCGGUGACCCAACCAAACGGAGGGAGCCGUCGAAGGUGGGACCGAUAACUGGGGUGAAGUCGUAACAAGGUAGC
rnacentral:rRNA from 1 species